AACGAACGCUGGCGGCAUGCCUAAUACAUGCAAGUCGAACGAGACCUUCGGGUCUAGUGGCGCACGGGUGCGUAACGCGUGGGAAUCUACCCUUGGGUUCGGAAUAACAGUUGGAAACGACUGCUAAUACCGGAUGAUAACGUAAGUCCAAAGAUUUAUCGCCCAAGGAUGAGCCCGCGUAGGAUUAGCUAGUUGGUGAG
rnacentral:rRNA from 1 species